GCUGAAAAUCAAGAAACUCCGCCAGGACUACAAGAAAACUAAAGACUGGAACAAUAAAAGUGGUAACGACCGGAGGACCACUAAAUGGUUUGACCGCUUGGAUGCUUUGCUUGGGAGCAGACCAUCAUUCACGGGUACAGCAUCGAGCCUUGAUUCGGGCAGUAUGGCAUCGGAGGCCGCUCCAACGGCGAAUUUAGAGGGCGACAACGACGAAGGCGAGGAAAAUCAGCAACACUCGGUAUUGGAAACAAGCGAGGUUCUUGGCGUUGGAGAUCAGAGCUUGCUCGCUUGCUCGUCCCCCUUACCGGCAACCAAACGCAAAGGAAAGCGGACACAGGAUGCACUUUUCCUCGAGACCGUCCAGGCGU